rnacentral:rRNA from 1 species
AGUGAACGCUGGCGGUAGGCCUAACACAUGCAAGUCGAACGGCAGCACAGUAAGAGCUUGCUCUUACGGGUGGCGAGUGGCGGACGGGUGAGGAAUACAUCGGAAUCUACUUUUUCGUGGGGGAUAACGUAGGGAAACUUACGCUAAUACCGCAUACGAACUACGGGUGAAAGCAGGGGAUCUUCGGACCUUGCGCGAUUGAAUGAGCCGAUGUCGGAUUAGCUAGUUGGCGGGGUAAAGGCCCACCAAGGCGACGAUCCGUAGCUGGUCUGAGAGGAUGAUCAGCCACACUGGAACUGAGACACGGUCCAGACUCCUACGGGAGGCAGCAGUGGGGAAUAUUGGACAAUGGGCGCAAGCCUGAUCCAGCCAUACCGCGUGGGUGAAGAAGGCCUUCGGGUUGUAAAGCCCUUUUGCUGGGAAAGAAAAGCAGCAGGUUAAUACCCCGCUGUUCUGACGGUACCCAAAGAAUAAGCACCGGCUAACUUCGUG